rnacentral:rRNA from 1 species
UACGGGGGGGGCAAGCGUUGUUCGGAAUUACUGGGCGUAAAGGGUUCGUAGGUGGCUUGCUAAGUCAGACGUGAAAUCCCUCAGCUUAACUGGGGAACUGCGUCUGAGACUGGCCGGCUUGAGUGCAGGAGAGGAACGCGGAAUUCCAGGUGUAGCGGUGAAAUGCGUAGAGAUCGGGAGGAACACCAGAGGCGAAAGCGGCGACCUGGACAGGCACUGACACUCAACUACGAAAGCGUGGGGAGCAAACAGG